UAAUACGGAGGAUGCAAGCGUUAUCCGGAUUCAUUGGGUUUAAAGGGUGCGCAGGCGGAUUAUUAAGUCAGUGGUGAAAUCCUACAGCUCAACUGUAGAACUGCCAUUGAUACUGAUAAUCUUGAGUGUAUUUGAAGUGGGCGGAAUGUAGCAUGUAGCGGUGAAAUGCAUAGAUAUGCUACAGAACACCAAUUGCGAAGGCAGCUCACUAAACUACAACUGACGCUCAUGCACGAAAGCGUGGGGAUCAAACAGGAUUAGAUACCCUGGUAGUCCACGCUGUAAACGAUGAUUACUCGUUGUUGGCGACACACAGUCAGCGACCAAGCGAAAGUGAUAAGUAAUCCACCUGGGGAGUACGAUCGCAAGGUUG
rnacentral:rRNA from 1 species